AUUGAACGCUGGCGGCAUGCCUUACACAUGCAAGUCGAACGGUAACAGGUCUUCGGAUGCUGACGAGUGGCGAACGGGUGAGUAAUACAUCGGAACGUGACCGAUCGUGGGGGAUAACUACUCGAAAGAGUAGCUAAUACCGCAUACGAUCUACGGAUGAAAGAGGGGGGUCUUCGGACCUCGUGCGGACGGAGCGGCCGAUGGCAGAUUAGGUAGUUGGUGGGAUAAAAGCUUACCAAGCCGACGAUCUGUAGCUGGUCUGAGAGGACGACCAGCCACACUGGGACUGAGACACGGCCCAGACUCCUACGGGAGGCAGCAGUGGGGAAUUUUGGACAAUGGGCGAAAGCCUGAUCCAGCAAUGCCGCGUGCAGGAUGAAGGCCUUCGGGUUGUAAACUGCUUUUGUACGGAACGAAAAGACUCCUUCUAAUACAGGGGGUCCAUGACGGUACCGUAAGAAUAAGCACCGGCUAACUACGUGCCAGCCGCCGCCGUAAUAC
rnacentral:rRNA from 1 species